GCUGGCUUGUGACUAAGAAAUUCACUGUGACAGAGAUCAGAGUGACCACAAACAAAACUGUAAAACUCAUAUGUUCAACCUAGGUUUCCCAACAUCAUGAUAAAAGGAAAAGCAUCCAUUGACAAGAUGAUGAAGAGGAACAUUAGGACAGAUUCUCAGCUGCUAUAAAGUGUGACACAAGCCUGCGUGGUAGAAUUUGGUUAAGCUCUAGGUAUUUCAAACAAGGCCUGCAAUAGUAGCUAACAAAGCUGGCAAAAAGGAGAAGGCAACAUGAACUUAGGUACAAGGAGGGACCAUACACCUCACAGCUUCGCUCAUUGCUUAUUGCUGAUUUUGUCAUACAUCUGUAAGUUUAAAUACUUAAGGGACAA